rnacentral:rRNA from 1 species
GUGAGGAAUAUUGGUCAAUGGGCGGGAGCCUGAACCAGCCAAGUCGCGUGAAGGAAGAAGGAUCUAUGGUUCGUAAACUUCUUUUGCAGGGGAAUAAAGUGCAGGACGUGUCCUGUUUUGUAUGUACCCUGAGAAUAAGGAUCGGCUAACUCCGUGCCAGCAGCCGCGGUAAUACGGAGGAUCCGAGCGUUAUCCGGAUUUAUUGGGUUUAAAGGGUGCGUAGGUGGUUUGAUAAGUCAGAGGUGAAAGUUUGCAGCUUAACUGUAAAAAUGCCGUUGAAACUGUCGGACUUGAGUGUAAAUGAGGUAGGCGGAAUGCGUGGUGUAGCGGUGAAAUGCAUAGAUAUAACACAGAACUCCGAUUGCGAAGGCAGCUUACUGGGAUGCAACUGACACUGAUGCACGAAAGCGUGGGUAUCAAACAGGAUUAGAAACCCUGGUAGUCC